rnacentral:misc_RNA from 1 species
ACGCAUCUCCGACGGCGAGGGCGAGCCCCGCUCCGGACCGAAAGGGCCGUGCAGCGGGCCGUCCGAGCCGCUCGACCCUUUUGCAAACCCACCGUGCACUUUUGUCGGCAGAGGGACCCCCCACUGUGGGCCCGAGCCGGAUCACAAACUCCGAGUUUGACGAGAACGUGAAGCGGCCCGCGCCGCCUAUACUAUAA